GUGUCGGGGUGUCGGGUUGUCAUGUAAGGGUGUCAGCAUGUCGUGUUAGGGUGUCGUGGUGUCAUUUUCUUCGUCUUCCUAUUCUUUUUUUCCUCUUCUUCCUUAUCUUCUUAUUCAUAUUCUUCCUCAUCUUCCGUUUCUUCUUCUGAUUCCUCUUCUUCCUUUUCUUCCUUUUCUUCUUCUUCUUCUUCUUCUUCUUCUCUUUCUUCUUCUUCUUCUUCUUCUUCUUCUUCUUCUU
rnacentral:lncRNA from 1 species